UUCAAAGUGAAGGAGUAUAACAGGAGCCCUGCUACAUGCUGCUCCCUUAUUUUUUUCCAUUUCCUUAAGCAAGACAGUGGAUAUACCAUAUUUACUCAAAUCCAAGACAAGAUCCUGUCCCCCUGUCACAAGGAAGAAGGUGUGCCCCUACAAGGCCAGAACCUUCUGGGCACAGAGGGAUGGGGAAGAAGGGGUUAACUACUGAACUGGGAUGAAUAGUCAGCUGACAGGAAGAGGCAGGACUAUAAAAACCCUGGGUUGAAUGACAGUAAAGGUCAGCAGCCAGGGAGCCAGCAGCACAUCUCUGAGCUCCAGGGAGAAGCUUGGUGGGAAGUCCAAAGCCAGGAAGAGGAGAACUAUAGAAGCCCUGGAGAGAUGACAGCCGCACUGCAGCAAGGACUGGAGCUGAUGGUGGGGAGCUGAAACAAACCUGCAACUGUCUAAGAUGAUACAUUCCACAACAGGAACAGAAACACUUUCUCAUCAGGGACACUAUUAUGGGCUGUCACAGGAGGAAGAAUUCUUUAAGAAAUCCAAUUCAUCCAUGACUGACAGACAAGUUCAGAGCAUCUGCUAUUCUUCUGAGCCUCCGUCUCCUCACAUUUUUAUCCCUCAUUCUGAGUUUCCGGUCAAGAUGCUAACUGACUGGCGAAGGCAAUCUGACUGUUUCUGAAGGGAGAGAGAGAGAGAAUGGUCCUGGUGGGUCCAGCAAGCUAAAGAGUGGGCAGUGGCCCAAAGAAACAUCUCAAGAAACGAAAAAUUGUGAUUCUAUAAAAAGAUUAAAUCA